AGCAGCCGCGGUAAUUCCAGCUCCAAUAGCGUAUAUUAAGGUUGUUGCAGUUAAAAAGCUCGUAGUUGAAUUUCGGGAUCAAUAUAUCGGUCGUGCCUUGGUACGUACUGGUAUCAUUGGUUUCUCCUUUCUGACGAACCAUGAUGUCAUUAAUUUGGUGUUAUGGGAAGUUAGGACUGUUACUUUGAAAAAAUUAGAGUGUUUAAAGCAGGCUUUAGCUUGAAUACAUUAGCAUGGAAUAAUGAAAUAGGACGUUCGAACCUAUUUUGUUGGUUUCUAGGAUCAACGUAAUGAUUAAUAGGGAUAGUUGGGGGCAUUAGUAUUCAAUUGUCAGAGGUGAAAUUCUUGGAUUUAUUGAAGACUAACUACUGCGAAAGCAUUUGCCAAGGAUGUUUUCAUUAAUCAAGAACGAAAGUUAGGGGAUCGAAGACGAUCAGAUACCGUCGUAGUCUUAACCAUAAACUAUGCCGACUAGGGAUCGGAUGAUGUUAAUUUUUUAAUGACUCAUUCGGCGCCUUAC
rnacentral:rRNA from 1 species